rnacentral:rRNA from 1 species
GAUGAACGCUGGCGGCGUGCCUAAUACAUGCAAGUCGAGCGAACAGACGAGGAGCUUGCUCCUCUGACGUUAGCGGCGGACGGGUGAGUAACACGUGGAUAACCUACCUAUAAGACUGGGAUAACUUCGGGAAACCGGAGCUAAUACCGGAUAAUAUCUUGAACCGCAUGGUUCAAUAGUGAAAGACGGUUUUGCUGUCACUUAUAGAUGGAUCCGCGCCGCAUUAGCUAGUUGUUAAGGUAACGGCUUACCAAGGCGACGAUGCGUAGCCGACCUGAGAGGGUGAUCGGCCACACGGGAGCUGAGACACGGUCCAGACUCCUACGGGAGGCAGCAGUAGGGAAUCUUCCGCAAUGGGCGAAAGCCUGACGGAGCAACGCCGCGUGAGUGAUGAAGGUCUUCGGAUCGUAAAACUCUGUUAUGAGGGAAGAACAAAUGUGUAAGUAACUAUGCACGUCUUGACGGUACCUAAUAAGAAAGCAACGGCUAACUACGUG